rnacentral:rRNA from 1 species
GACGAACGCUGGCGGCGUGCUUAACACAUGCAAGUCGAGCGGUAAGGCCCUUUCGGGGGUACACGAGCGGCGAACGGGUGAGUAACACGUGGGUGACCUGCCCUUAGCUCUGGGAUAAGCCUGGGAAACUGGGUCUAAUACCGGAUAUGACUCCAUGACGCAUGUUGUGGGGUGGAAAGCCUUGUGCGGCUAGGGAUGGGCCCGCGGCCUAUCAGCUUGUUGGUGGGGUGAUGGCCUACCAAGGCGACGACGGUAGCCGGCCUGAGAGGGCGACCGGCCACACUGGGACUGAGACACGGCCCAGACUCCUACGGGAGGCAGCAGUGGGGAAUCUUGCGCAAUGGGCGAAAGCCUGACGCAGCGACGCCGCGUGAGGGAUGACGGCC